rnacentral:rRNA from 1 species
AAGUCGUAACAAGGUAUCCGAUGGAUCAUUUC